GACGAACCGUGCAAACGUUGUUCGGAAUCACUGGGCUUAAAGGGCGCGUAGGCGGGCUCCCAAGUCGGUGGUGAAAUCUUUCGGCCCAACCGGAAAAGUGCCGCCGAUACUGGGAGUCUCGAGGGAGGUAGGGGUCGAGGGAACUCUAGGUGGAGCGGUGAAAUGCGUAGAUAUCUGGAGGAACACCGGUGGCGAAAGCGGCUCACUGGACCGUUACUGACGCUGAGGUGCGAAAAGCUAGGGGAGCAAACGGG
rnacentral:rRNA from 1 species